AAGCCGUAACAAGGUAAUCUUAGAUGAACCUCCGGUUGGAUCAUUAAAAAUGAAUACAGGGUUUGACCCAAAAUUAUGCUCUUUUUUACAUUUGUGAAUUGUUUAUUGUCCCUUGCCCAUUUUAAUUAAUGUGCAGCAACCUUUUUUUACAAAGGUUUAACUAGUAUUUAAAAUUGACUUUGUUGAAUUAAUUAAAUUUAAAACAACUUUUGACAACAGAUCUCUAGGUUCUC
rnacentral:misc_RNA from 1 species